GAUAUACUGAUUCCCGCUGUUUGUUCCAAGCUGGUUGUCGACCAGAAAUUCCUUAUUCGUGCCAUCACAGAAAAGAAGCCAUAUGUAUCAAGGUUAUUCUACACUCUUAACCGUUAGUAUCAGUAUUAGUAGUAGAAGCUGUAAGCGACAUCUAUAUUGCUCAGUUGCUUACAGAAUAUGGCAUUGAUACAACCCCAUCUGGGGAACCUUCUGAGGCUUGUUCUCAGAAGAUCCAUCUGCUCUCCUCUUUUUACUCGAACACGACACAUACGGUCCGUCUGUUCCUUUUCUUUCAACCAACCCCACUUGAAGAAACCUGUUGUUCAGAAGUCUUUCUUCAAGGCUGACGGUAAUGAUGGUUUGGUAAACCGCUUCUGUAGGGAGAAGAAAUUCAAGGAAGCCAUAGACACUCUAUGCCAACAGAAACGCUUGAAAGAAGCAAUUCAAAUCCUAGACCUUCUGGAUCGUUCCAGAACAUGCCCGACUGCCGCAAUUUACUCUGCUCUUCUACAGCUCUGUCUCCAACAACGAGCACUUGAGGACGGAAGAAAGGUCCACGCCCAUUUCAAAGUCUCCGGUUUUGUGCCUGGGAUCUUUAUUUCUAAUCGUCUGCUUGAUUUGUACUCGAAAUGCGAGAGCUUGGCGGAUGCCCGAAAACUGUUUGACGAGAUGACGGAGAGGGACUUGUGUUCUUGGAACACCAUGAUCUCCGGCUAUGCAAAGGCGGGCCAACUUGAAGAGGCCCGCUUGCUUUUCGAAGGUGUGCCAGGAAAGGAUAAUUUCUCUUGGAGUACUAUGAUCUCCGCUUACGUUCGCCAUGACCAACCUCACGAAGCUUUGGAGUUGUACAGAAGAAUGCAAAAAGAAGAGAAAUUGCAAUGCAACAAGUUCACGGUCUCUAGUGCUCUAGCAGCUUCUGCUGCUGUUCCAUGUCUAAAGCUCGGCAAGGAGAUCCAUGGUCAUAUAAUGAGAACUGGGUUAGCCUCAGAUGCCGUGGUUUGGAGUGCCCUGUCAGAUAUGUAUGGGAAAUGUGGGAGUGUAGAAGAAGCAAGGCACGUCUUUGACAAGAUGCUGGACCGAGACAUUGUUGCUUGGACUACGAUGGUUGGAAGAUACUUUGAGAGUGGGAGGAGGAAAGAAGGGUUUGAGUUGUUUUCGGAACUUUUAAGGUCAGGGAUUAGACCCAAUGGGUUCACCUUUGCUGGGAUUCUGAAUGCAUGCUCAGCUGAUGCUGCAGAGGAUACGGGGAAGCAGGUUCAUGCAUACAUGACCCGGAUUGGAUUUGAUCCGUUUUCAUUUGCAGCUAGCGCACUUGUCCACAUGUAUUCAAAGUGCGGCAACAUCGACAGUGCCAGAAGAGUCUUCGAAGGAAUGCCUCAACCAGAUCUAGUUUCAUGGACUUCCAUGAUUUCUGGGUAUGCUCAAAAUGGUCAACCUGAGGAGGCUAUUCGCUACUUUGAGUUGCUGCUCAGAUCAGGUACUAAGCCUGAUCACAUUGCUUUUGUUGGGGUGCUUUCUGCAUGCACUCAUGCAGGUUUAGUUGAUAAAGGACUCGAAUAUUUCCAUUCAAUAAAUGAAAUACAUGGAUUGAAACACACUGCUGAUCAUUAUGCUUGCAUAAUUGAUCUGCUCAGUCGGCGUGGCCGAUUUCAAGAGGCUGAGGGAAUUAUUGAUAAAAUGCCCAUGAAACCUGAUAGGUUUCUAUGGGCUUCUUUGCUUGGUGGUUGUAGAAUUCAUGGAAAGCUUAGACUAGCAAAACGAGCAGCUGAAGCGUUAUUUGAGAUUGAACCUGAGAAUGCAGCAACCUACGUUACAUUAGCCAACAUUUAUGCCACUGCUGGUAUGUGGGAUGAAGUGGCAAAAGUUAGAAAAAUAAUGGAUAAUAGAGGAGUGGUAAAGAAGCCAGGUUCAAGUUGGAUUAAGAUCAAAAGAGAUGUCCAUGUGUUCUUAGUGGGAGAUAAAUCCCACCCCAAAACUAAGGAAAUCUAUGAAUUUCUAGAAAAACUCUCAAAGAGGAUAAAAGAAGAAGGGUAUGUUCCUGACACAAAUUUUGUUUUGCAUGAUGUUGAGGAAGAGCAGAAAGAGCAAAAUCUGUCCCACCACAGUGAGAAGCUUGCAGUUGCAUUUGGUGUUAUUUCUACUCCACCCGGGACAUUAAUCAAAGUUUUCAAAAAUCUUAGGACCUGUGUUGAUUGCCACACUGCCAUUAAGUUCAUGUCAAAGAUUGUAGGGAGGGAGAUCAUUGUGAGGGAUUCAAAUCGGUUCCAUCAUUUUAAGGACGGGAGCUGUUCAUGUGGAGACUUCUGGUGAUUUGGGGGCGAGCUGAAAAGUGAGAUAGUAGUUAAUUUACUUGCAGAUGAAAGGGGAAAGGUUCCCAACUUUAUGAAUUCUUAUCAAUUAAAUUAAGCAAAAAGGUAUCUCUUGUCCCUCAAAGUCAGACAGUGCAUUGUAAAAAGGUUUGACAGAGGACUUGGAUGAUCUUUGUCUUUAAACUGUUCAAGGAGUGCAAAGAAGGACGAACCAUCUUCUUCUUCCAUCUUAGAGGAAACUGCAGGAGCUUCUGACAUUGUUGCCCCAUCAGGAGAGGAACAAGAGGCUGUUUUACAAGCUCUCCAUCUGUUCAUGGCAUCUGUUUGGGGUCUUCCUGCUAGAUAUGCAAAGAUUAUAAUAGAAGUGAUACCUAACAAAAUUCUAAUCUUUCUUCUUACUGAUGAAUUUCUUUUGUAUUAUGCACUUCUUUUAUUGUGUAUAACCUUUUCUUUUGUAUUUAUUGAUAUUGACCUAUAUGUUUGUUUUUUAUAUUAUAGCAGGUCUUCUACUUAAAACAAUCAAAGGGUUUGCCUACCAAGGAAACACAGGUGAAGCUUAAAUAGUGGCUUUUGGCGUUGCAAGGUAGACCCCAUAUGGAAAGCUGUGAAGCUGUAUUUGGUGAAAAAAAAAACCCAGAAAGCCAGAAAUAUGCUUGAGCUACGAAAUUGACUUUUUGGUGAAACUAUUUUUGGUAGCUUAGCAUAUAAUGAUCCCAAACGGGCUCUUAGGCCCUUGCUCAAGACAAGAUGUAGAAAAGACAAAGGUACGUUUCAUGGCAAUUACUGUUAAAAUGCUCCUAACAUCUAGGCUGACUAGCCUCUCCAUGGAACUUAAACUUCCAUAUUUGAGACUAGUAGCAGCUGUUGGUUUUAGGGGCAAAAGGUUUGAGAUUCCAAGCAAUACCAAUCCUCACUUAAGCUUGCUGGGUUUUAGGCUGACUAGCCAACCCCAUAUCUUUAAUUGAGCUUGUUGGGCCAAGUGAAAAAAUAUUUCAUAUUCUGUGUUGACUUCCAUCCACUGCUUUUUUCCUGUCCUUACCUCUAACAAAAGAAAUAUUUUAAACUGCAGUGAUACCUGGAAACACUCCUCUUUUUCAAGUAUCUUGAAGGCGUUGGUGAAACCUCCAACACCUCAACCAGUUCGUGUAGACAUUCCCCAACUAACCUAAAAGGGUGAAAUUUGCAAACGUUACAUAGGUGCUUUUCAAAUUUGCAAGCUAAUAAUUUGAAUGGAAUUGCUUGCUACUCUGGGAGUUCAUAAUUUCCACCACUGGCACAUGGUAGCCAAGAAGUCAAGCUUCCUUUCCCAUCCCCAACCCCACCCAAGAACUGAUGGACGGACGGCUGAACAAGAAAUUCUCUGUUCCCUCUGCUACUACCAAAAGAACCUU